ACGGCUCAGUAACACGUAAGCAACCUACCCUUCGGUGGGGGAUACCUCGGCGAAAGCUGAGCUAAUACCGCAUUCGAUCUCCAGGGGAAGCUCCUGGAGAGGAAAGCCGAAAGGCGCCGGAGGAGGGGCUUGCGGCCUAUCAGGUAGUUGGUGGGGUAACGGCUCACCAAGCCGAGGACGGGUAGCUGGUCUGAGAGGAUGGCCAGCCAGACGGGGACUGAGACACGGCCCCGACUCCUACGGGAGGCAGCAGCAAGGAAUCUUGCGCAAUGGGCGAAAGCCUGACGCAGCAACGCCGCGUGGGUGAAGAAGGCCUGUGGGUUGUAAAGCCCUUUUGCUGGGGAAGAAAACAGACGGUACCCAGCGAAGAAGUCCUGACCAACUACGUGCCAGCAGUCGCGGUAAAACGUAGAGGGCAAGCGUUGUCCGGAUUUACUGGGCGUAAAGCGCGCGCAGGCGGCUUGGGAAGUCCGGGGUGAAAGCUCUCCGCUUAACGGAGAGAGGUCCUCGGAGACUCUCAGGCUUGAGGACAGCAGAGGGGGGUGGAAUUCUCGGUGUAGCGGUGAAAUGCGUAAAGAUCGAGAGGAACGCCAGUGGCGAAAGCGACCCCCUGGGGUGUUUCUGACGCUCAAGCGCGAAAGCGUGGGGAGCGAACCGGAUUAGAUACCCGGGUAGUCCACGCUGUAAACUAUGAACCCUAGGUAUGGAAGGUAUCGACCCCUUCCGUGCCGAAGCUAACGCGGUAAGGGUUCCGCCUGGGGACUACGGCCGCAAGGCUAAAACUCAAAGGAAUUGGCGGGGGAGCAC
rnacentral:rRNA from 1 species